GAUGAACGCUGGCGGCGUGCCUAAUACAUGCAAGUCGAGCGAACAGAUUAUGCGCUUGCUCCUCAGACGUUAGCGGCGGACGGGCGAGUAACACGUUGAUAACCUACCUAUCUGACUGGGAUAACUUCGUGAAACCGGAGCAAAUACGGGAUAAUAUCUUAAACUUCAUUGUUCAAUAGUGAAAGACGGUUUUGCUGUAUCUCAUCGCUGGCUCCGCGCCGCUUUAGCUAGUUGGUAAGGAAACGGUUUACCAAGGCAACGAUGCGUAGCCGACCUGAGAGGGUGAUCGGCCACACUGGAACUGGGACACGGUCCAGACUCCUACGGGAGGCAGCAUAAGGGAAUCUCGGGCAAGGGGCGAAAGCCUGACGGGGAAAGGCGGGGUGAGGGAGGAGGGUCUUGGGAUCUAAAACCCUGGUUAAAAGGGAGGAACGAAUGUGUAGGGAACAAUGCACGUCUUGACGGUACCUAAUCAGAAAGCGACGGCUAACUACGUG
rnacentral:rRNA from 1 species